UGGGGAAUAUUGGGCAAUGGGCGCAAGCCUGACCCAGCAACGCCGCGUGAGGGAAGAAGGCUUUCGGGUUGUAAACCUCUGUCCUUGGUGACGAAAAAAAUGACGUAGCCAAGAGAGACG
rnacentral:rRNA from 1 species